AGUGAAGAGGAACACAGCCGAGACAAGAGCACAGUGUCGCUACAAUACUUCCCCAUUCCAGAUCCGACUAGUCCACUACUCUAACCAUCAACAUGAGUGACAAGCCUGACUUGAGCGAAGUGCAGAAGUUUGACAGGUCCAAGCUCAAGAAGACUGAAACGUCAGUCAAGAACACACUACCAUCUAAAGAAGCUAUUGAACAAGAGAAGCAGACUGUUCAACAGCAGUAAGAUGACGUCUGCAGCCGCCUUUUUUUUACAGCUGUAGACAACCAACCAUUCAGCCGAUCCAAGUUGCCAUCCACUAAGUGUCUUUGUAGUAGCAACAUCUGUCCAGCUUCCCACAUAAGAUCUUUGACCAGGACGCUUCCACCUGCUACUCCGAUCGCACCUGCAAACACAAACCUGUAGCUGUUUUCAGCUGUAUGCAACCGUAAAAGCCAUGUAUUUGUAAAAGUUUGUUCUUGAAUCUUCUGGAUGUACUGCGAGUGCUGUUACAUGUAUACAGUAGUAUCAAUGACGUUCAAGUCAUCAUACCAUAAGUGUUUAAGGACUCCUUAUAAUAUCAUAUCUAUAGCAAAGCCAUCAUAGUCUUAGAACAUUGACUUUGAACAUGAUUUACAAAUUAUAAUUGCAUUAUUUUCCUCCUCAACAACUCAGUUGAGUCUAUGUAUUCUUCUCACAGAAUAUAAUCAAGCGGUAUAUCUGUUACAAUCAUUCUACAUUUUGUUAUGUGUAUUGUCAGUACUGUACUAAAAUACAUUUCUAAAAUGUUUUUGUACUUAGCAGUGCAGAUUGCUCGAUCAAAACAGUUGUAACAAGUUGUGACAUUGUAAGAAUAGCGUGUUAGCAAUGUGUUAGGGGUUUAGGUUCAUAACAGUCGUUAGUUAUAAUUGGUGAUGUACUUGAAAGGAUGCCUCUGGUGUGGGUCUGCAAGAGAGAUGUGACUGUGAGAAAGGUUCCAAAAUUCCCUAAUCUGUUGUACUGUGAAAGACUGUAGGGUCCAAACUACAACUUUUUGUGGUGGUACGGUAGUUUUUGAUCUCAUUUUAGUUGCCAGGUGUAAUAAACGUGUAUGGAAGAAGAACUGGAGUUGAUAAACAUGAUAUGCAACCAUAGAGAAUUUGUGCAAAUAGGGCUAUAUGAUUGUUGUCUAUGUCAGCAAUGGCUCAAAGUGCAGUGUCCUGGUAUAGUCCCACUGUAUCAGUUGUCUGUGCAUUGUUGCAACGAUGAAACAACACCAUGUACCCAAUCAUGAACGUGGAAUACCGUAUAAUGCUCUGUCAAUGUGUCCCAAUAUGAGACUUCUUGCUGCAUUAAAAUCAUCUUUUUUUGGAAGAAUAUAAA